UACGUAGGGUGCAAGCGUUGUCCGGAAUUAUUGGGUGUAAAGAGCUCGUAGGCGGUCUGUCGCGUCGGAUGUGAAAAUCCAGGGCUCAACCCUGGACCUGCAUUCGAUACGGGCAGACUAGAGUUCGGUAGGGGAGACUGGAAUUCCUGGUGUAGCGGUGAAAUGCGCAGAUAUCAGGAGGAACACCGGUGGCGAAGGCGGGUCUCUGGGCCGAAACUGACGCUGAGGAGCGAAAGCGUGGGGAGCAAACAGG
rnacentral:rRNA from 1 species